rnacentral:rRNA from 1 species
UAUUGCACAAUGGGGGAAACCCUGAUGCAGCCAUGCCGCGUGUGUGAAGAAGGCCUUCGGGUUGUAAAGCACUUUCAGUAGGGAGGAAGGUAGUGUAGUUAACACCUGCAUUAUUUGACGUUACCUACAGAAGAAGCACCGGCUAACUCCGUGCCAGCAGCCGCGGUAAUACGGAGGGUGCGAGCGUUAAUCGGAAUUACUGGGCGUAAAGCGCAUGCAGGCGGCCUGUUAAGUCAGAUGUGAAAGCCCCGGGGCUUAACCUCGGAAUUGCAUUUGAAACUGGCAGGCUAGAGUCUUGUAGAGGGGGUAGAAUUUCAGGUGUAGCGGUGAAAUGCGUAGAGAUCUGAAGGAAUACCAGUGGCGAAGGCGGCCCCCUGGACAAAGACUGACGCUCAGAUGCGAAAGCGUGGGGAGCAAACAGGAUUAGAUACCCUGGUAG